CAGCAGCCACGGGAAUACGUAGGUGGCAAGCGUUGUCCGGAAUUAUUGGGCGUAAAGGGCUCGCAGGCGGUUUCUUAAGUCUGAUGUGAAAGCCCCCGGCUCAACCGGGGAGGGUCAUUGGAAACUGGGAAACUUGAGUGCAGAAGAGGAGAGUGGAAUUCCACGUGUAGCGGUGAAAUGCGUAGAGAUGUGGAGGAACACCAGUGGCGGAGGCGACUCUCUGGUCUGUAACUGACGCUGAGGAGCGAAAGCGUGGGGAGCGAACAGGAUUAGAUACCCCCGUAGUCCCUGUCUCUUAUAC
rnacentral:rRNA from 1 species